rnacentral:rRNA from 1 species
AUUGAACGCUGGCGGCAUGCUUUACACAUGCAAGUCGAACGGUAACAGGCUUUCGGGUGCUGACGAGUGGCGAACGGGUGAGUAAUGCAUCGGAACGUACCCAGAGGUGGGGGAUAACGCAGCGAAAGCUGUGCUAAUACCGCAUGUGAUCUGAGGAUGAAAGCGGGGGACCGAGCAGCAAUGUUUGGCCUCGCGCCUUUGGAGCGGCCGAUGUCGGAUUAGCUAGUUGGUGGGGUAAAGGCCUACCAAGGCGACGAUCCGUAGCUGGUCUGAGAGGACGACCAGCCACACUGGGACUGAGACACGGCCCAGACUCCUACGGGAGGCAGCAGUGGGGAAUUUUGGACAAUGGGCGCAAGCCUGAUCCAGCAAUGCCGCGUGCGGGAAGAAGGCCUUCGGGUUGUAAACCGCUUUUGGCAGGAACGAAACGGUGUCCGCUAAUACCGGGCGCUAAUGACGGUACCUGCAGAAUAAGCACCGGCUAACUACGUG